rnacentral:rRNA from 1 species
AUUGAACGCUGGCGGCAUGCUUUACACAUGCAAGUCGAACGGUAACAGGUUAAGCUGACGAGUGGCGAACGGGUGAGUAAUGCAUCGGAACGUGCCCGGUCGUGGGGGAUAACGCAGCGAAAGUUGCGCUAAUACCGCAUACGAUCUGAGGAUGAAAGCGGGGGACCGUAAGGCCUCGCGCGAUCGGAGCGGCCGAUGUCAGCUUAGGGAGUUGGUGGGGUAAAGGCUCACCAAGCCAACGAUCUGUAGCUGGUCUGAGAGGACGACCAGCCACACUGGGACUGAGACACGGCCCAGACUCCUACGGGAGGCAGCAGUGGGGAAUUUUGGACAAUGGGCGAAAGCCUGAUCCAGCAAUGCCGCGUGCAGGAAGAAGGCCUUCGGGUUGUAAACUGCUUUUGUACGGAGCGAAAAGGUCUCCUCUAAUACAGGGGGCUCAUGACGGUACCGUAAGAAUAAGCACCGGCUAACUACGUGCCAGCCGCCGCCGUAA